rnacentral:rRNA from 1 species
UCAACCUGGUUGAUCCUGCCAGUAGUCAUAUGCUUGUCUCAAAGAUUAAGCCAUGCAUGUCUAAGUAUAAACAUUUAUACUGUGAAACUGCACAUGGCUCAUUAAAUCAGUUAUAGUUUAUUUGAUGGUACCUUACUACAUGGAUAACCGUAGUAAUUCUAGAGCUAAUACAUGCGCAAAGUCCCGAGCCCUCG